AACGAACGCUGGCGGCAGGCCUAACACAUGCAAGUCGAACGCUCCGCAAGGGGAGUGGCGUACGGGUGAGUAACACGUGGGAACCUACCUUCUGGUACGGAACAACCAAGGGAAACUUUGGCUAAGACCGUAUACGACCUCCGGGUGAAAGAUUGAUCGCCGGAAGAGGGGCCCGCGUCCGAUUAGGUAGUUGGUGAGGUAACGGCUCACCAAGCCUUCGAUCGGUAGCUGGUCUGAGAGGAUGACCAGCCACACUGGGACUGAGACACGGCCCAGACUCCUACGGGAGGCAGCAGUGGGGAAUAUUGGACAAUGGGCGCAAGCCUGAUCCAGCCAUGCCGCGUGAGUGAUGAAGGCCUU
rnacentral:rRNA from 1 species